UCCGCGGGCUGCGCAUGAACGCGGUUUUAAUUCGCUAUACUAGAAAAGUAAAAUAUAAACGAGCGAAGCGGAGCCAAAGGGACGUUGCCGCGCGUCUAGCCGACCGACCGACAGGAUGAGAACCCAGGACGACGAGAGGAGAAAUCUCGAUCUUUUUUUUUUUUUUUCUUUUUUCGUUCUUCGGAGAAGUCCGGAGUAUCCUCCCCUAUACUGCUCUAGGGAUUCCAUUGUAAUAUUUAUUGAUUGGAUUCUUAGGUGGCGAGGUGAACGAUCUCUGUUUGAACGAUGAAAUUAGGAUGUUUUCUAUACUGCGUGACGUCCGAGAACGAACAUCAGGUGAAUAUGAGAAAAAUAGGGGUCGGUCAGCAGAGAAAGAGAGAGAGAGAGAGGGUGAAAAAGGUUCGAUGACACCAAGAAAAAGCCAUUUGGGGAUGAAAUGGACGUUUUCCGGGUACAAAGGGAGUGAUAAGGGAAAAAGCAAGGUCGAAAAAAGAAAUUAGUAGAGCCUCACGUUUUGGCGGGCAUUGCUCCCUGAGUUCAAGGCUAAGCCAUGUUGAAUACUGGGGCUGGCAUACCAACCUCUUGAACCUACCUCCCCUCAUACUUUGUUUAGCCCCUAAACUAUAACCUUAACAUUAAAUACAAUACAGCUCUUUUUUUUAUAUUAUUUCUAUUUGCCUCUUUUUUUUGCUUCCUCUUAAUUUUUUGUAUUUUAUUUCCUUUUUUAUUAAAUAAUUUAUUUUCAUUUCUUAUUCAAUAUUUUUUUUUUAACUUUUUCGAAAACAUUUAUUUAAACAAAUUUUUUUAAUAUUUUAAAUAUUGUUAAAGUAUUUUCCUCUUUUUUUUGUUGAAAUUUUAUAUAUCCAC